UCGAGCGAAUGGAUUAAGAGCUUGCUCUUAUGAAGUUAGCGGCGGACGGGUGAGUAACACGUGGGUAACCUACCCAUAAGACUGGGAUAACUCCGGGAAACCGGGGCUAAUACCGGAUAAUAUUUUGAACUGCAUAGUUCGAAAUUGAAAGGCGGCUUCGGCUGUCACUUAUGGAUGGACCCGCGUCGCAUUAGCUAGUUGGUGAGGUAACGGCUCACCAAGGCGACGAUGCGUAGCCGACCUGAGAGGGUGAUCGGCCACACUGGGACUGAGACACGGCCCAGACUCCUACGGGAGGCAGCAGUAGGGAAUCUUCCGCAAUGGACGAAAGUCUGACGGAGCAACGCCGCGUGAGUGAUGAAGGCUUUCGGGUCGUAAAACUCUGUUGUUAGGGAAGAACAAGUGCUAGUUGAAUAAGCUGGCACCUUGACGGUACUUAACCAGAAAGCCACGGCUAACUACGUGCCAGCAGCCGCGGUAAUACGUAGGUGGCAAGCGUUAUCCGGAAUUAUUGGGCGUAAAGCGCGCGCAGGUGGUUUCUUAAGUCUGAUGUGAAAGCNCNCGGCUCAACCGUGGAGGGUCAUUGGAAACUGGGAGACUUGAGUGCAGAAGAGGAAAGUGGAAUUCCAUGUGUAGCGGUGAAAUGCGUAGAGAUAUGGAGGNNNNNCAGUGGCGAAGGCGACUUUCUGGUCUGUAACUGACACUGAGGCGCGAAAGCGUGGGGAGCAAACAGGAUUAG
rnacentral:rRNA from 1 species